rnacentral:rRNA from 1 species
AUGCAUCAUAUAGAUAGCUUUUUUGCAUUGUUCAAAAAACUUUGUAGUCUCAACGAUGAUGCAUACAUGUCAACUAUGGGUGUUGGCUCCAACAAUUCGCAUUGGUCUCAAACAAAUGACAUCCAUUUCGAAGACCAUGAGUUUGAGGUGGACGAGGAGGGCAAGGGCAUUAUCGACGCGCCGAAAGGAAGAUCGAGCAAUUACACCAACAAAGAUGACAUCUUACUAUGCUAUACUUGGUUGCACGUGUCGAGGGAUCCAUCCGUUAGAGGUGAUCAAAGUAGAGAUGCUUAUUGGGGGCGGAUGAAAGAAAACUUUGAUGAUCACAAUGUGAGUGGAAUUGACCGCUCCGAGAGAUCACUUCGGUCCCGAUGGUCGACAAUCAACUCGGAUUGUCAAAAGUGGGCGGCCGCACAAAAGUCGGUUGACAAGUUGAACCCAAGUGGCACAAAUGAGGACGAUAGAGUAAGUGGCAUUUCAUACAUGUUCGUCAUACUUGUUUUUGGUGUCCGAAGUGCUAACUUGCUUUGUUUUCAUGUAGUACAACAUUGCACAAAACUUGUUCAAAGAAGAGGUGAGGACAACCAAGAAGGGGAAGAUCAAGAAAGGAAGGAUCUUUACAUUGCCUCAUUGCUAUGA